GGUCUUGUGGUCUAGAGGUAUGAUUCUCGCUUAGGGUCCAAGGAUCUGAGCACAAUUGCGAGAGGCCCCGCGUUCGAAUCGCGGCAAGACCC